rnacentral:misc_RNA from 1 species
AUCCGGGUUUGUGUGUUUGUUGCUGCCCACAGCAGGAUGUGCGAGAGAGAAAUAUAGGGAUGACUUAGAUUUGGUAGAUAGUCAAUGAAAGUGCCGAGUUUUAACAAAGGAUGAAUUAGCAAACAAGAGAAAAAACCAAUAAUUGAGAGAGGGAGAGGGAUGGGGCAGUAAGGGAAGGGAGAGGGAUGGACAUAUGGGGAAGGGAGACCAUGGAAGAGUAGUAGAAGAAGAAGAAGAACGGCAAGCUGGAUGUUGGCUGGAAAAGGACUGGUUAUUAUACUAAAUGUUAGAUGAAAGAAAAAGCUAAAGGCAUCGCCUUUGCUUUGCCCUUUCUCUCCCAUAGAAAAAUAAAUAAAU